rnacentral:rRNA from 1 species
UUCGGGACUGAUUAUUUUGUGACUGAGUGGCGGACGGGUGAGUAACGCGUGGGUAACCUGCCUCGUACUGGGGGAUAACAGUUGGAAACAGCUGCUAAUACCGCAUAAGCUCACAGAGCCACAUGGCUCAGAGAGAAAAACUCCGGUGGUACGAGAUGGACCCGCGUCUGAUUAGCUAGUUGGUGAGGUAACGGCUCACCAAGGCGACGAUCAGUAGCCGGCCUGAGAGGGUGAACGGCCACAUUGGGACUGAGACACGGCCCAAACUCC